rnacentral:rRNA from 1 species
UACAGAGGGGGCAAGCGUUAUUCGGAAUUAUUGGGCGUAAAGGGCGCGUAGGCGGCGAUUCAAGUGACGGGUGAAAUCCCUCGGCUUAACCGAGGAACUGCCUGUCAGACUGGAUUGCUUGAGGCCGGGAGAGGCGAGUGGAAUUCCCAGUGUAGCGGUGAAAUGCGUAGAUAUUGGGAGGAACACCAGUGGCGAAGGCGGCUCGCUGGACCGGUUCUGACGCUGAGGCGCGAAAGCGUGGGAAGCAAACAGG